CCUACGGGUGGCAGCAGUGGGGAAUAUUGCACAAUGGGGGAAACCCUGAUGCAGCGACGCCGCGUGAGUGAAGAAGUCAUUCUUGAUGUAAAGCUCUAUCAGCAGGGAAGAAAAUCACGGUACCUGACCUCUACUCCCCGUCUAACUCCGUGCCAGCAGCCGCGGCAAUACGUAGGGGGCAAGCGUUAUCCGGAUUUACUGGGUGUAAUGGGAGCGUAGACGGUUGCGCAAGUCUGGAGUGAAAGGCGGGGGCCCAACCCCCGGACUGCUCUGGAAACUGUGUAACUGGAGUGCAGGAGAGGUAAGUGGAAUUUAUGGUGUAGCGGUGAAAUGCGUAGAUAUUAGAAGGAACACCAGUGGCGAAGGCGGCUUACUGGACUGUAACUGACGUUGAGGCUCGAAAGCGUGGGGAGCAAACAGGAUUAGAUACCCUUGUAGUC
rnacentral:rRNA from 1 species